UUUCUCUGUGAUCUUUUCCACAAGUCCUUUUGCCAUCUAUCCCAAACACCCCCGUUGUUCCACACAAUUAUGCUGAUAUUUCUGCUCCACCACAAUUGUUGUUCCGCUUCAAUUAAUCAAUCAAUUCUCAAUUUUUUUAGUUAUAAAAUAGAAGAGAUUUAGGUAACAGAUGGUUUGAUUUCUUUCUCAAAAGCUGGUUUUUAUCAUUGGUGCUGAAGAUGGAUAUGUUUACAAGGAGUCGGAAGUUGUAUUGGGUUGAUCUGCUCAAGCUCACUUUCAACAAGUGUGGGAGAGCUUACUAUCUUAUGGUUAUGGGGGCACAUGAGAUGGCCUGAUGGUGGAUUUCUGCAAUUUCUGCCCUAAUUUAUUGUCUGAAGGUAUAGAAGCAUCUUUUGAACCAAUUAUUUCAAAAGAUAUGGAUGGAACUUCAAGUAUAUCAAAGUUAUAAUGAAGAAUCUGAACAUCAAUCGAAUUUUUAUGUUGUGUGGUUUAUGAUCCUUAUGGUGUUAGCUAAAUAUCUCCAUAACAUAUUUCAAGGCUAUAAGAUAGCCAAAAUAGAGGAUUCCAAAGUCAUAGUUUUUGCUAUUGUGUAUAAGCUAAAGAAUAGAUCAUCAAAUCAUAUUAAUGAGGAAAUGGAUGCUUCCAGUAUCACAGUUUCUACUAUAGUGUAUAAGCUAAAGAACGGAAUCAACAAACAAAUCCAGGUUUAGAUGUAAAGCAUUAAAGUUGCGAUCUGUAAUUUUAGGGUAAUCUAUAGCUAUUAUUUGCUAUAUUUAGACACUAUUGGGUGUUUAAAGAGGUGAAAGAAGCAUGCUAACAUUACCCAUAUAUGUUUUUGGUGGCUUUCAACUAUUGAGGACUUUCUUGAUAACAUCAAAAGGCAAUGUAUAUUUUCUGUUUGUUUUGAAAUAUAAUUGCUUUAUGUUGAUGUUAUUAAUUUAAAGGAUACCAUUUUAUAAGUUGUUUUCUGAAUAGAUUAUUUCUACUUAUGUCUACCAUGUAUAACAUGGUUCUUUUGCUGGUGGAUAACUCCUUACAGAGAGUUGGAAGCAAGGAGAGGCAGAGUGCAACAAAUACAAAAAGUUUCUAAUGAAAUGGCCAUGAAAGAAGAAUUGUUGGUAAAGAUUUAGUAUCUUAACAUGAUCGACCGGCAAGCCCCAUCCCCAUAUCCUUGUAAACCAAGGAAGCAGCAGUGGGUGCUCCAGUGCUCUGGCAACUUACUUUUGCUGGUGAAAGCUUAUAUAGACCCAUAAAACGCCUUGGAAUCUAUGAAAGUUGGACAUGGAUAAAUAAAUCAUGAAGUGGAAAAACUAAGAAAGCAACAAGAAGCUUAUGAAAAGAGUCAAUGAGAGAUAUAGAUCUUAACACAAAGUUAAGGGCAUUUGAGGAAAAAGUAGAAAACUAAUAAGUUAUAGGAAAAAAAAAAUUAGAAAUAGGCAAUAAACAAAUACUUGUUGACAUAGAGAAUCUGUAGAUUCAAAAGUUGAUCCUGAAGGAUUAAAAAUGAUUUCAUUCAAAAAGAGGUACAAGUUUAUGAAGAGAUUGAAAUAGCAUAUAAUUACAUAAGAGGAAAGUCAGCAAACAACAAUUACUUGUUCCUUUUAUCGAUAAAUGCAAGAAAUAUUUGUAUACAUUCAUUUAUUUUGAUAUUAUAGCAUCCUACGUUCAUUUUGA